AUACUUACCUGGACGACGUCAAUGGGUGAUCAACAAGAACCAUGGCCUAGGCUAAUGACCUCUAUUGCACUUAGGAGGGGUUCUAACCUAAGGUCUCCCCAAGUGGGAGAGCCUACGUCAUAAUUUGUAGUAGUUGGGGCCUGUGUUCGCGCGGCCCUGU